rnacentral:rRNA from 1 species
CCCUUAGAUGUCCUGGGCCGCACGCGCGCUACACUGAUGCAUUCAACGAGUUUUACCUUGGCCGAGAGGCCUGGGCAAUCUUUUAAACCUGCAUCGUGAUAGGGAUAGAUUAUUGCAAUUUUUAAUCUUGAACGAGGAAUUCCUAGUAAACGCAAAUCAUCAAUUUGCAUUGAUUACGUCCCUGCCCUUUGUACACACCGCCCGUCGCACCUACCGAUUGAAUGGUCCGGUGAAGCCUCGGGAUUGUGGCCAGUUCACUUUAUUGGGAGUUGGCUGUGAGAACUUGUCUAAACCUUAUCAUUUAGAGGAAGGUGAAGUGGUAACA